rnacentral:rRNA from 1 species
UACGGGAAGGCAGCAGUGGGGAAUAUUGCACAAUGGGCGAAAGCCUGAUGCAGCUAUGCCGCGUGUAUGAAGAAGGCCUUAGGGUUGUAAAGUACUUUCAUCGGGGAGGAAAAAACAAAACUAAUAAUUUUAUUUCUUGACGUUACCCGAAAAAGAAGCACCGGCUAACUCCGUGCCAGCAGCCGCGGUAAUACGGAGGGUGCUAGCGUUAAUCAGAAUUACUGGGCGUAAAGAGCACGUAGGUGGUUUUUUAAGUCAGAUGUGAAAUCCCUGGGCUUAACCUAGGAACUGCAUUUUGAAACUGAAAUACUAGAGUAUCGUAGAGGGAGGUAGAAUUCUAGGUGUAGCGGUGAAAUGCGUAGAUAUCUGGAGGAAUACCUGUGGCGAAAGCGGCCUCCUAAACGAAUACUGACACUGAGGGUGCGAAAGCGUGGGGAGCAAACAGGGAUUAGAUACC